rnacentral:rRNA from 1 species
CCUACGGGUGGCAGCAGUGGGGAAUAUUGGUCAAUGGAGGAAACUCUGAACCAGCAACGCCGCGUGAAUGAUGAAGGUCUUCGGAUUGUAAAGUUCUUUUCUAAGGGAAGAAGAUCGUGACGGUACCUUAGGCAUAAGCCUCGGCUAACUACGUGCCAGCAGCCGCGGUAAUACGGGGGAUGCAAGCGUUAUCCGGAUUUAUUGGGUUUAAAGGGUGCGUCGGCUGUGAGGUAAGUCAGCGGUGAAAUGCCCCCGCUCAACGGGGUGAAGUGCCAUUGAUACUGCCUUGCUGGAAUGCGGAUGCGGUGGGAGGAAUGUGUGGUGUAGCGGUGAAAUGCAUAGAUAUCACACAGAACACCGAUUGCGAAGGCAUCUCACGAAUCCGCGAUUGACGCUGAUGCACGAAAGCGUGGGUAUCAAACAGGAUUAGAUACCCUUGUAGUC